GGGCGGUUAGCUCAGCUGGUAGAGCAUCGGUUUUACACGCCGGUGGUCAGAGGUUCAAGUCCUCUACCGCCCA
rnacentral:tRNA from 1 species